rnacentral:rRNA from 1 species
CCUACGGGUGGCAGCAGUGAGGAAUAUUGGUCAAUGGACGAGAGUCUGAACCAGCCAAGUAGCGUGAAGGAUGACUGCCCUAUGGGUUGUAAACUUCUUUUAUAUGGGAAUAAAAUGUUCCACGUGUGGGAUUUUGUAUGUACCAUAUGAAUAAGGAUCGGCUAACUCCGUGCCAGCAGCCGCGGUAAUACGGAGGAUCCGAGCGUUAUCCGGCUUUAUUGGGUUUAAGGGGAGCGUAGGUGGAUUGUUAAGUCAGUUGUGAAAGUUUGCGGUUCAACCGUAAAAUUGCAGUUGAAACUGGCAGUCUUGAGUACAGUAGAGGUGGGCGGAAUUCGUGGUGUAGCGGUGAAAUGCUUAGAUAUCACGAAGAACUCCGAUUGCGAAGGCAGUUCACUGGACUGCAACUGACACUGAGGCUCGAAAGUGUGGGUAUCAAACAGGAUUAGAUACCCCGGUAGUC